rnacentral:rRNA from 1 species
GACGAACGCUGGCGGCGUGCCUAAUACAUGCAAGUUGAGCGCUGAAGGUUGGUACUUGUACCGACUGGAUGAGCAGCGAACGGGUGAGUAACGCGUGGGGAAUCUGCCUUUGAGCGGGGGACAACAUUUGGAAACGAAUGCAAAUACCGCAUAAAAACUUUAAACACAAGUUUUAAGUUUGAAAGAUGCAAUUGCAUCACUCAAAGAUGAUCCCGCGUUGUAUUAGCUAGUUGGUGAGGUAAAGGCUCACCAAGGCGAUGAUACAUAGCCGACCUGAGAGGGUGAUCGGCCACAUUGGGACUGAGACACGGCCCAAACUCCUACGGGAGGCAGCAGUAGGGAAUCUUCGGCAAUGGACGAAAGUCUGACCGAGCAACGCCGCGUGAGUGAAGAAGGUUUUCGGAUCGUAAAACUCUGUUGGUAGAGAAGAACGUUGGUGAGAGUGGAAAGCUCAUCAAGUGACGGUAACUACCCAGAAAGGGACGGCUAACUACGUG